rnacentral:rRNA from 1 species
CCUACGGGUGGCAGCAGUCGAGAAUCAUUCACAAUGGGGGAAACCCUGAUGGUGCGACGCCACGUGGGGGAAUGAAGGUCUUCGGAUUGUAAACCCCUGUCAUGUGGGAGCAAAUUAAAAAGAUAGUACCACAAGAGGAAGCGACGGCUAACUCUGUGCCAGCAGCCGCGGUAAUACAGAGGUCUCAAGCGUUGUUCGGAAUCACUGGGCGUAAAGCGUGCGUAGGCGGUUUCGUAAGUCGUGUGUGAAAGGCGCGGGCUCAACCCGCGGACGGCACAUGAUACUGCGAGACUAGAGUGAUGGAGAGGGAACCGGAAUUCUCGGUGUAGCAGUGAAAUGCGUAGAUAUCGAGAGGAACACUCGUGGCGAAGGCGGGUUCCUGGACAUUAACUGACGCUGAGGCACGAAGGCCAGGGGAGCGAAAGGGAUUAGAUACCCGUGUAGUC